GACGAACGCUGGCGGCGUGCUUAACACAUGCAAGUCGAACGGAAAGGCCCUGCUUUUGUGGGGUGCUCGAGUGGCGAACGGGUGAGUAACACGUGAGUAACCUGCCCUUGACUUUGGGAUAACUUCAGGAAACUGGGGCUAAUACCGGAUAGGAGCUCCUGCUGCAUGGUGGGGGUUGGAGAGUUUCGGCGGUUGGGGAUGGACUCGCGGCUUAUCAGCUUGUUGGUGUGGUAGGGGCUUACCAAGGCUUUGACGGGUAGCCGGCCUGAGAGGGUGACCGGCCACAAGAGUACUGAGAGACGGCCCAGAAGCCUACGUGAGGCAACAGGGGGGAAUAUGGCGCAAUGGGCGGAAGCCUGAUGCAGCAACGCUGCGUGCGGGAUGCUGGCCUUCGGGUGGUAAACCGCUUUCGCCUGUAACGAAGCGUGAGUGACGGUAAUGGGUAAAGAAGCACCGGCUAACUACGUG
rnacentral:rRNA from 1 species